UUGUGAGGGGCGUUCGGCUCUCGGAGUGUCGAUGAGAUUUCAGGCGGAAGUGGGAAGUUAUCAUGUCGGCCAUCCGGCGUGGGGUCUGCUUUAAGGGAUGGAAUACCUUGUCCUCGGAGCUUAAACGUUGUAGUAGUCGCGGUUUUUAACGCUUGAGCAGGAGAACAAGGAGGACAAAAGAGGAACUGAAAACCUUGAGGAAAGUUUCUGGCAGCAGAUUCCCCAUGAAGAAGAACUGAGGUUUCUGGCAACAGAUUCCUCAUGAAGAAGAAGAGGGAUUCCUGAUGAUCAGAUUCCUCGUGAGGUGACUCCUGCAUGUUGUCGAACUCUCCUGUGCCUGCUGCCUGAGCGCUGCUGCUGCUUCAAGGAUUGGCUCCUCGACUUCCUCGUCUACCUGCUUGCUAUCUCCUCCUGUGUCUGCCUGGGACCUUCAAACGCCAUGCAACAGGGUGCUGCUGGAUCCUGCUGGUGACUAUCCUCGCUAACUGCAACUCUUGCUUCUUUCCCAUCUUUUCUAUGACCCUCCUUCCCUUCCCCGUCUCCCUGAUUAGGUUUGGUAAUAAACUGGAUGGAACAACA